rnacentral:tRNA from 1 species
AGUCCCGUGGUGUAGAGCACAUAAGAUUGCAAGUCUUAAAGAGAUGAAGGAAUUUUCCGGGGCUU